rfam:Triticum aestivum genome assembly, contig: Triticum_aestivum_CS42_TGACv1_scaffold_002022_1AL
AAAGUACUCCCUCGUCCAAAAAUUCUUGUCUUAGAUUUGUCUAGAUACGGAUGUAUCAAGUCACAUUUUAGUGUUAGAUACAUCCAUGUCUAGACAAAUCUAAGACAAGAAAUUUGGGACAGAGGGAGUAGUUG